ensembl:lncRNA novel transcript, antisense to FBXO25
UAAGAAUGCAGAGGGUAGAGCUUAGGUCUUGCAGAAGAUCUUUGAUUAAGCGAGGAUUGUGGUGGUCAUCAAGAACUGGAAUAAAUAAAAAUAAAACUAUGGAUUGAUACAGUUAAGCAACACUUUAAAAAAAGAUCUAGUUUCAUAACCCAAAUGUCCACUGAUAGACGAACAGACAAACAACGUGUGAUCUAUACAUGCAAUAGAAUAUUAUUCAGCCCUAAAAAGGAGGGAAAUUCUCACACAUAUUCAGCAUGGAUGAACCCUGAAGACAUUAUGCAAAGUGAAAUAAGCUAGCUACAAAAGGACAAAUAUAUAUCUCCACUUACAUGAGGCACCCACUUACAUAAGGCACUUACAUGAGUAGUCAAACUCGUAGAGACAGAAAGUAGAAUGAUAAUUACCAGGGGCUGGUGGGGAGGAGGAAUGGGGACUCAGUGUUUAAGGUGGUAUGAGUUUCAGUUUGGGACAAUGAAGAGGUUCUGGAGAUGACUGGUGGUGAUGGGUGCACAGUAAUAUACACACACUUAAUGCCGCUGAACUGUAUGCUUAAAAACUGCUAAAAUGGUAAAUUUUAUGUAAUGUGUAUUUUACCACAAUAAAAAGAUGUAAUUUCACUGCAACCCAAAA